rnacentral:rRNA from 1 species
AGUGGCGAACGGGUGAGUAAUACAUCGGAACAUGUCCUGUAGUGGGGGAUAGCCCGGCGAAAGCCGGAUUAAUACCGCAUACGAUCUGAGGAUGAGAGCGGGGGACCUUCGGGCCUCGCGCUAUAGGGUUGGCCGAUGGCUGAUUAGCUAGUUGGUGGGGUAAAGGCCUACCAAGGCGACGAUCAGUAGCUGGUCUGAGAGGACGACCAGCCACACUGGGACUGAGACACGGCCCAGACUCCUACGGGAGGCAGCAGUGGGGAAUUUUGGACAAUGGGCGAAAGCCUGAUCCAGCAAUGCCGCGUGUGUGAAGAAGGCCUUCGGGUUGUAAAGCACUUUUGUCAGGAAAGAAAUCCUUGGUUCUAAUAUAGCCGGGGGAUGACGGUACCGGAAGAAUAAGCACCGGCUAACUACGUGCCAGCAGCCGCGGUAAUACGUAAGGUGCAAGCGUUAAUCGGAAUUACUGGGCGUAAAGCGUGCGCAGGCGGUUUGCUAAGACCGAUGUGAAAUCCCCGGGCUCAACCUGGGAACUGCAUUGGUGACUGGCAGGCUAGAGUAUGGCAGANGGGGGUAGAAUUCCACGUGUAGCAGUGAAAUGCGUAGAGAUGUGGAGGAAUACCGAUGGCGAANGCAGCCCCCUGGGCCAAUACUGACGCUCAUGCACGAAAGCGU